rnacentral:lncRNA from 1 species
CAGUAAACAUUGCUUCUUGCAGCUUGAAGAGUAUUCUUUUAUUUUAAAAUGGUAUCCGCGGGCGCGCUGUACCAAAGUCAAGAGCAGGAAAGGGGCCUCGGAGAGGAGGGUGCAGAAUCGGAACCAGCAGGACAGAGAGGAAUCCAGAGCUGGACUGGCCAUGGAAAGGACUCAAAUUGAAGAUAUAUCUAGGGAGGUGCCUGUUGAUAACACUUCCGGUUUCAGACAACCCUGUGUGAUACCCUUUGGACCCUGAAUAUUGGGACUUCCUGUGCUGUGCUCAUAAGGCAUUAUGUAAGACACAUGAGGGCACAUUCCCAGCGAUGGAUACUCACUGAGAGUCCACUGUGAGCUGGUCCCUGUAGACAAGGGUCAGUAACUCACACGUGCCGGAGUCAGGAAGCCUGCAGCCUCCUAAGGGAAGACAUAUCUGCAAAUAAAAAAUAGAGUACAGAGUGCUGAAUGCUGUGGCAAAGACAAACACAGGUACUGUGAGUUUUAGGUAAGACACACCCACCCACUGGGAGCAGGAGGUAAGCAAGGAAGGCUUUUCUCAAGGGGAGGAAGUCCCUUUUAGUUGAGUCAUGAAGGAUGGG